UUCAUUUGAAGCUUUCCACUAGAAAGAUUGUAGAAUUUAAAUAACUAGUUAUUCUUUUGCAAAGAGUAGAGCGGUUGACCUCUAUACUACUUGAUAUUCGCAGAAUUAACAUAAACAUACUUGCUUCCUGUUAUAGAACCCAAUAUGUGAGCAAAAUCGGGAUACAAGUCAAUUCCAUCUCUUUACCAAAAGAAGCAGGUAGCCAAAACCAGUACUGAAAAAACAACAAUAAUAAUUAAGGUUUGGUCAUAUUAGUUCUAUAUGUUGGCUUUGUUCAAAGUGUUGGACCUCUACUUAUUGUCAUUGGGGGUAUGUCUUCAAUAUUUUCUCUUGAGGAUAGUACCAAGUUUGAAUCAAAAGAAGGAGAUCGUUUAAUAUCAUAACAGCAAGAAAAUGCUUUACAAGCUUUUAAUACAAAAUUAUCCAGUUGUUUAACAUCACAACAGCAAGAAAACGCUUUUCAAGCUUUUAAUAAAAAAUAAUCCUGAAUUAUGUGACAGUGGCACCUUUGAAAUUAAAUAGCACCUUGGUCCUCUGUUACAAAAUGAUACAAUUCAAAUGUGUCACAUCACAGAUUCUGUUUGGCAUUACUCAUCUCAAUAUCAUUCCUAUGAAUUGGAUCACUUGGUGAACCAUCUCUAGCUUUUACUAAAAUUCAUCAAAAAAAUCACAAUAAUCAGAAGAAUAACUAUUAUAGCUUUCUGUGAUCUUAUGAAUUUUUUAUGCAGUGUAAAGGAAUUGUUCGACAUUUAGUAUACUACUGCGGCCUGACUUCUUGUAAAGAAUUAUCAUAUAAGGAUACUUAAAAGGCAUGUUAUCAGUGGCAGGUUGGCAGCAGAAAAUUUUAUCGACAAGGUUGGCUGUUUUUCACAAAGUUAUGUUGGACAGUGUGUGGAAGAAUGUAUUGUCCUCAGCUUCAUUUUGUGACCACCACCACAUUAUGCAGUUUGUUGCAAGUGCAAGCAAAAAAAAACUCGCCGUCACAUUUCAAAGGAAGAGAAUAUGUUACAGAAAUCAUAUCAUUUUUACAGCAUAUCCCCAUCAGAUGACCUGGAAAGUGGUAAGUCCGUAAGAAAAGGGUGUUGCAACAAGUCAUUAGAACUGGGAAGAUUACAACCAUGGUUAUAUAUUCAAAUCCAAUUGAGAAGGAAAGAAAACCACUUGUCUUAAGCUCUACUCCAAGGUUAGUUAUUAGUUCUAUAUUUAGUCAACUCACUUCUCAUAUUUAUUUCUCUGUGUGGUGGAUGAUCACCAAAUGAAUUUAGAAAAUGCAGUCAGUUGUAGUAGUUCACUUAACAGUUACCGAAGGGACACUCAGUUGUCAAGUUGUUGUCAAACUAUGACUUGAAUUAAAUAAUAUAUAUAUUAAUCAACCAUAAAUUCCCAUAAAAUGGGUGGAUGAUUAUUUAAAAUCAAAUUACAUAAGGAAAGAUAGAGAUGUGAUGAGAGAGAAAACACAGUUAUCAUGCUGAUGCUGUUGAUGCAUGUGUUCUGCAAAGUAAAAAAACUGAUGAAAGAACUUAACUCUAGGGGGUAAAUUUUAGGUAAAUUGCUCUUGGAGAUAGUAUUAGGUGACCAAUAUAAGGAAAUCUCUAAGCUGUGUUAAUCAUAUAUACCUUAGGUAAAGUUAUAGUUGAAUUGUACAUGAAAACUAUAUUUUUUUAAAGAAAAUACAGAAUAUCGUGCCAGAAAAGAGAGAGCGGUAUUUGGCAAAAUAAUAAUAAUAAUAAUGAAAGAGUGCCGACAGUGAGUUUCUGCCUUUGUUCAUUGAAUUCACUAAAUGACUCGUGCCCUUAUCCAUCAAACAAAUUCACCAUCAUUAUUUAGAAUAUCCAAUAAAUGAGAAUCCGAGCUAAUUGUAAGACACCUGUCUUAGUUAUUUGGCAAAUAGCCAAAUAGGCAUCCAUAUUUUCCAUGGCCCACAAAAUGAUUGUGAGCUGCCAAUACGGUUGGGUGCCCUCUCAAACAUUGAGCUUCUUUUCUUUUCUUUUUUUUUUAUUUCAGUGACCCUAAUCAUUUUCAGGAUUUUCCUUUUCUACAGUGUUUCCACUGUUCCAUGUCUCCAUUAUAACAAAUGGGGUUCUCAUGUUCUAUUCCUCUUACACCAACAGGCUUGACAUGAAUGGCAGGGCAUACAGUGGGCCACAAUUGUGACAUAUAUAUAGCAACUAUUUGGAUGAUAUAUAUAUGAUGGAAACCAUUGUCCAUUACUCGUUAUUUUGAGUGAUUUAAUAAGUUUCAUGCAAUGUAUUAUUUAUUAAUAUAUUUUAUUUUUCCUUUGGUCAAUUGUUAAAUUGAACUCGUUUUGAAGUUUCUAAUCUGAGUCAUUUUGUUUAUGAAGGACAUUAUAUUAGUAUAUCUAAAGCUUAGAUAUCAAAAAUUCCUCCCAGAAGAGGCUUUGUUGCAUUGAAUACCAUCUUGAUUAAGUGGUUCUUGAUUGAUCUAAUGAAGGGCUAUGAUUAAGUAGAUCGCAAGGGGCUAAUCUAGGGUUAACAAAUCCGAAGGAAAAAACGCACGAGAGUCAAUUUGAGACCGACCAAAAGUAUUGCUAGUGUCCUCUUUCGGUGCACCAAACCACAGAAAACUAUGCCUUUUUCCAAGAAAGCAUGUGCCUGGAUGGCCACCCCAAGGAAACUUGGCACUGGUUUGAUUAAAGGAGUGGAUUCUCCCACAUUGAGCCCAUGUGGUCUUUUAUGAUUGGGUUGUUUGCUUCACUUAUUUCCACAAGUGGAGAGACAACUGCCUUAAUAAAUAGUGAUGGCUAUUAUAAAAAUCACUAUAGUAUUUUGUUGGGGGCCAUUUUGAAAGAUGGGUGUAAUUAAUUUCAUAAAUUUUGUAUUUUUAAUUUUUACUGAACCGUUUUUUUGUUGUUUUUCUGGUCAAACUGACAUGGUAGUUGUAAAUCCACAAUGAAAUCAUCUAACAAACCAGCAAUGACAGCUGUGGUGAUUCUGACACAAAUCAACAAGAACACUUAAUUACAUCAAUCAAUAUGGCUUUGAUAAGGUGUCAUCUUCAAUUUAAUCCCCAAUUAACUUCAUCCUUCAAUUUUGCCAGCACUACUUAAAACGUUUCAAUGUAACUGUAUUACUUUAGUGUGACAGUUAUAUAUAUAUAUAUAAUUAUAUAUCUAUCUAUCAUAGUGUCAUUAGAGCAGUAACUAGUAAGUGGCAAGUCAAAUUGAAAUGGGAAGAAAUAGGAGGAGGAGGAGGAGGUUGGAUAUGGAACAGUGAGUCAAACACUGUCCGUCCUUUAUUUGUGUCAGAAAGAAAGAAAGAAAGAAAAGACUCAGACAGAGCUCGGCCAGCCUGUUCCCCAUCUCUCCCUCCCUUUCUCUCUCUAUUAUCCAUUAACGGACAAAAUUCCUUUGCAGUUAUCUGUCAAUUCCCAAACCUGCCCUCCAUGUGGGUCCUCGCCACGUGGCACUCCAUAUUCACACAUUAGUAUUCAGUAUUCUCCCCACGCAACAAAUAAAUAAUCAAACAGUACACUGCAUCAUAGCCACUCAUUCUGAAGUAGUGAAGACGAAUAAAUCACAUACACAUGCAUCAUAGCCACUCAUUCUGAAGUAGUGAACACGGUAGAUGUAUAUUAUGGGUAGGGUUGCAAAGUUACUCGUAAUCUGUACAUAUUCUGGUGCAGAAUCGAUUCAUUUACCAUCCUAAUUUUGUAAGUUCGAAUUCAAUUCACGUGGAUUCAUUUAUAGAUAUAACCUUAAGUUCGAAUUCAGUUCACCUAGAUUCAUUUUUAGAUAUAGCCCUAAGUUCAUAAGCUCGAUCUCAACUUAACUCUGUUCAUUUAUAAUCAUGCGGAUCAAAAUGGAAAGAGUUACAAUAACUAGAAUUAAAGAAAGAAGCAUAGCCCUAGUGUAAAGAGUAAUUUAUUCUGAAACAUAAAAUAUGAGAAAAGAAUAAAAUAAAAACAUGUUCAUUCUCAAUUACUUCAUGAAACUCUAACCCGAAAACAAUGCGGGUUUGGAUCUUGUCGGAUAAAACAUGUCGUCCAAGCAUUUCUAUAACUAUACAUUUCUUCAUCCAAUAAAAUACUUGAUCGACACAUUUUACAGCAAUACUGUAUCCUUACCCAAACAAUUCAAACCCCUUUUUCUCCUAAAAAUCAUUUUACAAUUAAGAAAGAAAAACAAAAAAAAAAAACAAAAUAAA